rnacentral:rRNA from 1 species
AUACGGAGGGUGCGAGCGUUAAUCGGAAUUACUGGGCGUAAAGCGCGCGUAGGCGGUUAGAUAAGUCUGAUGUGAAAGCCCUGGGCUCAACCUGGGAAUGGCAUUGGAUACUGUUUAACUAGAGUGCAGGAGAGGAGAGUGGAAUUCUCGGUGUAGCGGUGAAAUGCGUAGAUAUCGGGAGGAACACCAGUGGCGAAGGCGGCUCUCUGGACUGACACUGACGCUGAGGUGCGAAAGCGCGGGUAGCAAACAGGAUUAGAAACCCCAGUAGUCC